AGUGAACGCUGGCGGUAGGCCUAACACAUGCAAGUCGAACGGCAGCACAGGAGAGCUUGCUCUCUGGGUGGCGAGUGGCGGACGGGUGAGGAAUACAUCGGAAUCUACUCUGUCGUGGGGGAUAACGUAGGGAAACUUACGCUAAUACCGCAUACGACCUACGGGUGAAAGCAGGGGACCUUCGGGCCUUGCGCGAUUGAAUGAGCCGAUGUCGGAUUAGCUAGUUGGCGGGGUAAAGGCCCACCAAGGCGACGAUCCGUAGCUGGUCUGAGAGGAUGAUCAGCCACACUGGAACUGAGACACGGUCCAGACUCCUACGGGAGGCAGCAGUGGGGAAUAUUGGACAGUGGGCGCAAGCCUGAUCCAGCCAUACCGCGUGGGUGAAGAAGGCCUUCGGGUUGUAAAGCCCUUUUGUUGGGAAAGAAAUCCAGCUGGCUAAUACCCGGUUGGGAUGACGGUACCCAAAGAAUAAGCACCGGCUAACUUCGUGCCAGCAGCCGUCGUAA
rnacentral:rRNA from 1 species